GACGAACGCUGUCGGCGUGCUUAACACAUGCAAGUCGAACGGAAAGGCCCUGCUUUUGUGGGGUGCUCGAGUGGCGAACGGGUGAGUAACACGUGAGUAACCUGCCCUUGACUUUGGGAUAACUUCAGGAAACUGGGGCUAAUACCGGAUAGGAGCUCCUGCUGCAUGGUGGGGGUUGGAAAGUUUCGGCGGUUGGGGAUGGACUCGCGGCUUAUCAGCUUGUUGGUGGGGUAGUGGCUUACCAAGGCUUUGACGGGUAGCCGGCCUGAGAGGGUGACCGGCCACAUUGGGACUGAGAUACGGCCCAGACUCCUACGGGAGGCAGCAGUGGGGAAUAUUGCACAAUGGGCGGAAGCCUGAUGCAGCAACGCCGCGUGCGGGAUGACGGCCUUCGGGUUGUAAACCGCUUUCGCCUGUGACGAAGCGUGAGUGACGGUAAUGGGUAAAGAAGCACCGGCUAACUACGUGCCAGCAGCCGCGGUGAUACGUAGGGUGCGAGCGUUGUCCGGAUUUAUUGGGCGUAAAGGGCUCGUAGGUGGUUGAUCGCGUCGGAAGUGUAAUCUUGGGGCUUAACCCUGAGCGUGCUUUCGAUACGGGUUGACUUGAGGAAGGUAGGGGAGAAUGGAAUUCCUGGUGGAGCGGUGGAAUGCGCAGAUAUCAGGAGGAACACCAGUGGCGAAGGCGGUUCUCUGGGCCUUUCCUGACGCUGAGGAGCGAAAGCGUGGGGAGCGAACAGGCUUAGAUACCCUGGUAGUCCACGCUGUAAACGGUGGGUACUAGGUGUGGGGUCCAUUCCACGGGUUCCGUGCCGUAGCUAACGCUUUAAGUACCCCGCCUGGGGAGUACGGCCGCAAGGCUAAAACUCAAAGGAAUUGACGGGGCCCCGCACAAGCGGCGGAGCAUGCGGAUUAAUUCGAUGCAACGCGUAGAACCUUACCUGGGUUUGACAUGGAUCGGGAGUGCUCAGAGAUGGGUGUGCCUCUUUUGGGGUCGGUUCACAGGUGGUGCAUGCCUGUCGUCAGCUCGUGUCGUGAGAUGUUGGGUUAAGUCCCGCAACGAGCGCAACCCUUGUUCACUGUUGCCAGCACGUUAUGGUGGGGACUCAGUGGAGACCGCCGGGGUCAACUCGGAGGAAGGUGGGGAUGACGUCAAGUCCUCAUGCCCCUUAUGUCCAGGGCUUCACGCAUGCUACAAUGGCUGGUACAGAGAGUGGCGAGCCUGUGAGGGUGAGCGAAUCUCGGAAAGCCGGUCUCAGUUCGGAUUGGGGUCUGCAACUCGACCUCAUGAAGUCGGAGUCGCUAAUAAUCGCAGAUCAGCAACGCUGCGGUGAAUACGUUCCCGGG
rnacentral:rRNA from 1 species